AGUCGAACGCUUCCUACCGGUGCUUGCACCGGGAAAGAAGAGUGGCGGACGGGUGAGUAACACGUGGGUAACCUACCUACAAGCGGGGGAUAACAUUCGGAAACGGAUGCUAAUACCGCAUAGAUCUUUUUGUCUCCUGGCAGAAAGAAGAAAGACGGUUUCGGCUGUCACUUGUAGAUGGACCCGCGGCGCAUUAGUUAGUUGGUGAGGUAAUGGCUCACCAAGACGAUGAUGCGUAGCCGACCUGAGAGGGUGAUCGGCCACACUGGGACUGAGACACGGCCCAGACUCCUACGGGAGGCAGCAGUAGGGAAUCUUCCGCAAUGGACGAAAGUCUGACGGAGCAACGCCGCGUGAGUGAAGAAGGUUUUCGGAUCGUAAAACUCUGUUGUUAGAGAAGAACAAGGAUGAGAGUAACUGCUCGUCCCUUGACGGUAUCUAACCAGAAAGCCAUGGCUAACUACGUGCCAGCAGCCGCGGUAAUACGUAGAUGGCAAGCGUUGUCCGGAUUUAUUGGGCGUAAAGCGAGCGCAGGCGGUUCUUUAAGUCUGAUGUGAAAGCCCCUGGCUCAACCAGGGAGGGUCAUUGGAAACUGGAGAACUUGAGUGCAGAAGAGGAAAGUGGAAUUCCAUGUGUAGCGGUGAAAUGCGUAGAUAUAUGGAGGAACACCAGUGGCGAA
rnacentral:rRNA from 1 species